AUGCUAAUAACGCAGGGUGGUGCAGUAUUCUAGUCAGUACUUCCGAUUCUGAAGACGGGCCUAAAAAUCCGUUAAAGGGCACAUCGAUGAAGUUCCUUGUGCUGGCUUGUUACGCCCAGUAGUGGGCUGGUGCUGGGAGUUAAGGUUUAGGGGCGAUCCGCAAUGGCAUGCGGGCGUUGACCCCUCUACCGUGGAGACCCGAACUUGUGGAAGUAAAGUACACUAUAGGCUUAAAAUCAGCUUAUGUGUCAGCUCUUCUACGAGCCGGGAGUAAACCUGUUAUGCGAUGCCGGUUUAGGUGUUGUGAACAGAGUAGCCUGCCUUGAGUGAAAUUGGUGGAUAAUGGUCAGGUGUAGAAGUAUUGGCCGAUACAUAUACACUAUAGCAGUUUGAAACCAAUUUUGCAAAAGAGGCUAAGAAUCGGAUAGACUGUCGGGGAAAGCCCCUAGACUGUUCGGUAACGAGUUAUGCUGGGGAUUGUAGUGUGGACUAAGUGGUAAUCAGGCCCCGCUUCCUUUGAAGGAGCGGCUGAGGGUUUAAAGGGAAACCGCUGAACUGGCGACAUUCAGUACCUUCUGUGGAAAUCAUGCCUGACCUAAGCCGCAAAAUUUACUCAGCAUAUAUCCACCCUGUAUUAUGGUAUU
rnacentral:sRNA from 1 species